rnacentral:rRNA from 1 species
AAAUCCCACGGCUCAACCGUGGGGCUUGCUGGGGAUACUGCGGGCCUUGGGACCGGGAGAGGCGGGGGGUACCCCUGGGGUAGGGGUGAAAUCCUAUAAUCCCAGGGGGACCGCCAGUGGCGAAGGCGCCCCGCUGGAACGGGUCCGACGGUGAGGGACGAAGGCCAGGGGAGCGAACCGGAUUAGAUACCCGGGUAGUCCUGGCUGUAAAGGAUGCGGGCUAGGUGUCGGGCGAGCUUCGAGCUCGCCCGGUGCCGGAGGGAAGCCGUUAAGCCCGCCGCCUGGGGAGUACGGCCGCAAGGCUGAAACUUAAAGGAAUUGGCGGGGGAGCACUACAAGGGGUGGAGCGUGCGGUUUAAUUGGAUUCAACGCCGGGAACCUCACCGGGGGCGACGGCAGGAUGAAGGCCAGGCUGAAGGUCUUGCCGGACGCGCCGAGAGGAGGUGCAUGGCCGCCGUCAGCUCGUACCGUGAGGCGUCCACUUAAGUGUGGUAACGAGCGAGACCCGCGCCCCCAGUUGCCAGUCCUCCCCGCUGGGGAGGAGGCACUCUGGGGGGCCCGCCGGCGAUAAGCCGGAGGAAGGAGCGGGCGACGGUAGGUCAGUAUGCCCCGAAACCCCCGGGCUACACGCGCGCUACAAUGGGCGGGACAAUGGGAUCCGACCCCGAAAGGGGAAGGGAAUCCCCUAAACCCGCCCUCAGUUCGGAUCGCGGGCUGCAACUCGCCCGCGUGAAGCUGGAAUCCCUAGUACCCGCGUGUCAUCAUCGCGCGGCGAAUACGUCCCUGCUCCUUGCACACACCGCCCGUCACUCCACCCGAGCGGGGUCCGGGUGAGGCUCGGUCUCCCUUCGGGGAGGCCGGGUCGAGCCCGGGCUCCGUGAGGGGGGAGAAGUCGUAACAAGGUAGCCGUAGGGGAACCUACGGCUCGAUCACCUCCU